UUAACUUUUAAAUUGUGUUUAUUUAAGAAAAAUAUUAUGUAAAUAAUAGUAUGGUGGUAUGCCACAAGGCAGAAAGCCUGAAACAGAUAUACCAAUGACAAGUUCAAGGAACUGUGGUGAGGUGGGAAAAUGUAACAAAACUCAUUAGUCACAAACCUCACUUCAAGUCUGGCUCUGUCACACUUAAGUCAUGUAACCCUGAUUAAACUGCUGACCUUAAAUGAGGCUGUUUCCUCAUCUGUGAAGUUGAAAAAGAACUCCUACCCUCCUAAACUCACAUUAAAAUAUGUAGAAACAUGCUGAAGCCCGGAACACACCGUGCAAAUAGCCCGUGGGGCUGAUAUCCCAAUUUCCUCUUUUACCAAGGUCUAUCCAGGGCUUCCUCUUCACCACCCCAGGAAGUGCCUCACAACUAGCCCCUAUUUCCCAGGAUCCCAAGGACCAAGUUCUAUUCAGUUUGUUGUCCACACCUGGGUCUGCCAUUCUGAGGGUGGGGAGGUGGGAGGGGCUGGAGAAAUCCUGGAAUCAGUCUGGGAACAAGUCCCAACACAUGUCACUGUUUGCUUUGAGAAAGAGUCUCGCUCUGUUGCCCAGGAUUGAGUGCAGUGGAGUGAUUUUGGCUCACUGCAAUCUCCACCUCCUGGUUCAAGGGAUUCUCAUGCCUCAGCCUCCCGAGUAGCUGGGAUUACAGGCGCCCGCCACCAUGCCUGGCUAAUUUUUGUAUUUUUAGUAGAGACAGGGUUUCACCAUGUUGGCCAGACUGGUCUUAAACUCCUGACCUCAGGUGAUCUGCUUGCCUUGGCCUCCCAAAGUGCUGGGAUUACAGGUGUGAGCCACUGUAUCUGGCCUAGGACAGCUCUUGAAUGGAUUCUUAGCCUGGCCCCUCAUGGGACAUUCAACUGGGGUUGACAGAAGCUUCAUUGACCCCAGGGUCAGAGAGUGUAAUCGUCCUCACGGACUUAUACAUAUAAUGCAUACUUUUUGAGCACCUACUAUGUACCAGGCCUUUUGGGGAAAUGAGCCAGCCAUGUUGUAUCAAAAGGCUAGAUAGGACCUUAGAGUCACCUUUUUACCACCAGGAGUCCUUGUGUCAUCCUUAGAGACCGAGACGUAGGGAGCAGUGAGUCGGUUUGGGAUGAGACUGGCAGGAGCAGGCAGAUACAGUAUUCGACCUCGGAGCUGGGCUUUUAGCCUGGGGUCCUGGCGCCCCUAGAGUGUCAGGAGGUGAGGGCCUGAAGCUACAGGCAGAAUCCCAGUGUCUGUGUGGGCCGUGGGCUUGCUCUGGACACUCUGGGGACAGGAUGCAAGGCCGUCAUCAGAUUCUCAAAGGGGCCCGUGUCCAGAAAAAAAACGUGUUAAACCUCCGAUAUGGAAGCAUCUGCAGUGGGGCCAGGCGUCAGCUAGCUGUGGGAUCACGGGCAAGUCUUGGAGGUGCCUCUUCCAGCUUCAAAUCUCUGUGUACUUUGGGGAGGCAGGGGGUUUGCUUCCCAGGUGCAGGCUUGCACCUGCCUCUUUCUGGAUUGCAUCAGAGCUGCUCAGGACUCAUUUCCCCACCCCCACAGGCGCCUACAGCUCCCUCCCCCUCCCAUAACUUAUUAGCUACAGAUAACAUCCCUUUGUUCUCCCAGUGACUCCACACCCACAGAAGGAGAGGGGGAUGAAGAAAUCUGCCAGGAGGGUGCCUCCCGCCAGUAUCUGAUGAAGAGCUCUCCUUUGGAGUAAUAUGUUGUCUGUGCCAAGGAUGGAAUGAAAACAGAGUAUGAUGGCUCAUCUUGACUUUUUCCUUACUUACAAAUGGAGAGCCCCAAAGUCCAAAUCCUUGGACCAGCUAUCCCCCAACUUCCUCCUUAGGGGCAGAAGGUGGAUUAGGAUUCCUGGACUGCUCCAGCAUGGGCCCCUCUCCCUCCCCACAGUCAGCACCUGUCCCAUCUCAGCCUGAAAUUGGCCUGCUUUCCUCCAAGACUUGGAUCGAAAGACUCUUCUGCACAUGUUCAAAAUGUAUUUCAACUCCUUAGAGUCUCCUAAGCCUCCCAUUGCCAAGCCCCUGUGACUUCACAGACACUGAGCACUCAUCUCUGGUGCUGUCUUCUACCCAAAGAGUGGCCACAUCUGAACAUGCUGGUCCUUUAGCUCUCUGUUGUGCAGGAGUGAGGAGACACGGGCUGUAGUCUCAGCAUGCUGAUGCAGUCUAGCUGUGGGCCGAACAAUGACUCUCAAGGCACACGGAACAUCAGGAGCACCGGUGAGCGUUAUAAAGUGCCCCUAGCCGCCCCCAUUCUCCACCCACUGAAUCAUGUUAUCUGGCCAUGGGCACCCCACGUGAUUCUUACGGGUAUCAGGUUUGAAAAUAUCAGAGUUUUAGGAGGACUAAAAUCCUCCCAGGUUCCUGUGACAUCGCAACGGAAAAAGCCUUAGGAAUGAUCUAGACGAUCAUCAUCUGAGAUUGUGGGCUCCUCCGAAGUUACCACACAAGUCCCAGAUCAGAAACUGAGGCGGGGGCUUGCUCAGUGUCGCGUGGCUGGCAAUCCGCGGCGGCCUCCGGCGCAUGCGCAGUUCUUCUCUGCACGGCGGCCUUGCAGCCCCGCUUCCACCCACCGCAGGAAUGCCUCUCCUUGACCGAGACACAAACCUUUUCCUCCUCCAGCCGACAGUUUCAGCCCAUUACCUCUAAAACUGCACACCCUCACAGGUGGUGGACUCCCACAAAUGCCACCCUCUCCCCA
rnacentral:lncRNA from 1 species